rnacentral:rRNA from 1 species
AAUCAACGCUGGCGGCGUGCCUAAUACAUGCAAGUCGAGCGGAAUGAAGAAGAAGCUUGCUUCUUCUGAUUUUAGCGGCGGACGGGUGAGUAACACGUGGGCAACCUACCUUGUAGAUUGGGAUAACUCCGGGAAACCGGGGCUAAUACCGAAUAAUCCAUUUUGCUUCAUGGCGAGAUGUUGAAAGACGGUUUCGGCUGUCACUAUAAGAUGGGCCCGCGGCGCAUUAGCUAGUUGGUAGGGUAAUGGCCUACCAAGGCGACGAUGCGUAGCCGACCUGAGAGGGUGAUCGGCCACACUGGGACUGAGACACGGCCCAGACUCCUACGGGAGGCAGCAGUAGGGAAUCUUCCACAAUGGACGAAAGUCUGAUGGAGCAACGCCGCGUGAGUGAAGAAGGUUUUCGGAUCGUAAAACUCUGUUGUAAGGGAAGAACACGUACGAGAGUAACUGCUCGUACCUUGACGGUACCUUAUUAGAAAGCCACGGCUAACUACGUG